AACGAACGCUGGCGGCAUGCCUAACACAUGCAAGUCGAACGAGAUCUUCGGGUCUAGUGGCGCACGGGUGCGUAACGCGUGGGAAUCUGCCCUUUGGUUCGGAAUAACAGUUGGAAACGACUGCUAAUACCGGAUGAUGACGAAAGUCCAAAGAUUUAUCGCCAGAGGAUGAGCCCGCGUAGGAUUAGGUAGUUGGUGUGGUAAAGGCGCACCAAGGCGACGAUCCUUAGCUGGUCUGAGUGGAUGAUCAGCCACACUGGGACUGAGACACGGCCCAGACUCCUACGGGAGGCAGCAGUGGGGAAUAUUGGACAAUGGGCGAGAGCCUGAUCCAGCAAUGCCGCGUGAGUGAUGAAGGCCUUAGGGUUGUAAAGCUCUUUUACCCGGGAUGAUAAUGACAGUACCGGGAGAAUAAGCUCCGGCUAACUCCGUGCCAGCCGCCGCCGUAA
rnacentral:rRNA from 1 species